UAAGUCCUGUGGGCACAACAAACUGUGACACUUUCUGACACGGGGAAGCUGUCCGAUCCUGAACCUCCUUCACUCUGAGUGUCCCCUCUCCAGCGUGUGUGUGACCCUGUCACCUCCGUUCUCUCCCUGUGGACACACACCCCGAGCCGCGGUUCUCCACUCUCUGCUCAGCUCACGCCACACGCUCCCUCUUGGUGGGUUCUCCUUGGGAUGAAUGACGAUCACUGGCUCCGACCCCUCCUUGGGAUGAAUGACGAUCACUGGCUCCGACCCCUGGUCGACCCCACUGGCUACGACCCCCUUCGUAACCAGGACAGCCCCAAGUGGACGCCCAGCUGCCACUUCAAACUCAGGGGCUCCAGGCAAGCUCACAGAUGCCACCUUCUCCUCUAAGUGCCCUCCCUGCUGCCCUGGGUCCACCAGCGACGCCAGCGCUACCCUCACUCUGUUACAGGCUCAGUUCUGGGAGGCCUGGGAGGAGGGAGAGUGUUAACGCAGCCCACUGGGAAACCAGGCUUGGGCCCUCAGUGGGGCCAUUCCUUUGACCUCAGAGAGGCUUUCGGCAAAAGUACAGAGCCUGACAGCCCAGCCCCUGAGAUGCCCUUGAUGGUCAGAGAAGAGCUGAAUGCCACACCCAAGCUUCUUCACUCGGAGACAGGGCAGCUGUGAGGACCAAGCCGUCACACACAGCAGGGCGAGCCUCUCGGUGCCAGGCUGCAGCCCGGAGUCUGCGGGACUUCUGAAAGCUCCAGGUAAAAAUCCCAGAGCCCUGAGAAGUUAAGUUACUUGCCCUGGGUCACCCAGCGGUGAGUGGCAGCGUGGGACUCGAACUCUGGUCCCUGUGACAGUUUCUGCUCAGCCGAGCUGCCUACGGUUCUGCCUUCUCUGGAGAUAACUUGUCUGUCACCUGCUCUCUCCUCACCUCCCCUGCCAGUAACAGGAUUCCAGUAGUUUUAGCCCAUGGCCUUUUGGAAUCAAGACCAAUGUCCCCAGUCUCCACUGCAGUUAGGUGUGGUCACAUGUCUAAGUUCCAGACAAAGGAGGUAAGUGGAAGCGGUGUAUACAGUUUCUAGGAACUAUCCUUAAAUAGAGGGCUUAUGGUCUUCCUCCUUUUUCUCAACCUUGCUAGCAGGAAUGCAGAUGUGAUGGUUUGAACGGGGGCUACCAUGCUGAAUCAUGCAAAUAUAAGCCAUAUGUUAGAGACGGCAGAGCCACAAAGUAGAAGAAUCUGGAGAGAGAUUCGUGGAAGAUGCCCUGGGAUGCCCAUAUUUACAAUUCUAUUUUGGUUAAGCCACUACAAUUUAGCAUUUAUCUUUCAUGGCCAAAACAAAUUCAACCAGUGCAGAUGUCCAGCAGAGUCUGGGGCUUAGGGCAGAUCUGGCAGUCAUCAGUAUAAACAAAGGCUCCCAGGUGAGGGAUUAGGCUUAUGCCUGCUCUCUCUGGAGGCAGUACAAACACAGAUGCCCUUCUGUGUCCUCACAGCCCAUGGCAGGUAAGGGACAGAUAUCUUUCCACUGCCUCUGCAUCCUUUGCCAAGUUCUGAGUGCUCCCUGGGGUCAGGGCUCCACAUAGCCAUAACAGGGAUGCCAGGGCACCUUACAGACUAAAGACGAGGCUGGAGUGAGGACCUGAGGACACUGUGUUACCAAAACACUAAUUAUAAAUAGGGAAAUAAAAAUGUAAACAACCACACCAACAUUACCCUAGAACUUCCUCGGUAGAGAUGGCAAAGCUGAUCAAAUGCUUGGAUCUGCUGUGGAUCCAGAACAGGUUCUGAGGUUGCCUGAGAAAUCAAAAACAAUAAGGUUAAUAAUAACACCCAUGGGCAGCCUCUGUAUUUGGUCAGCGGUGAAACAGGAUGCAGUGCUUCCUUCACUCCUAUGAAGAAAAUCCAUGCUACCAGCAACUGAUAAGAUAUUUUACUGAACAUGAAUUAGAAAUGGCCGUGUGCCUCCUCACGCCCUUGGUGCCAGCUCCAGGCCGACAACCUCCCUAUGGCCCCUUCCCACGUGGUCUCCAGAUUCUCCAUACUUAAAAACGAGCUUCCCCUGGGGCUUCUCGGUCCCUCUUGGCCUUUACUCUGCAGAAUAAUUUAGCUGCACCCUGCCUGGCACCCCCAGCACUGAAUACGGCCAGCAAAGAUGCCCCUUCUUUGUGCUGCCGGUGGAGGUACGUUAUACAUGAAAAAGCAUGUCAUUUCCCUGCCUCAUUAUAAAGCUGGUAGCCACCUAAGGGGCUGAGAUUUUAGUCUGGUUUUGGGAGAGGGGGAGUCUAACUUGCUUCUCCAGCAGUCUCGCUUUGUUCCACUGGUUACUGCGCCCAACACUGUGGUCCUACUCUCAGUGGAUCCGAUCCAACUCACAGCUAGAGGAAGAAAUGGGAUCCUGGCAGAGGCCGCCAUAGGCUUUGGAGUCAGAGGUGAACCGGAAUACCAGUUCUGACACCAACCUGCUACGUGACCUUAGGCAAGUUCCUGCUCUGACUUGUGAGACAGGAUAUUGCUUCCUUAUGAGGUUACUGAACAUUAAAUUAGAUGAGAUCCGUAUUUAAAGUGUCUUUUACCUGCUUGCCCCCGCCCCGUAAAGGCUCAGUAUAUGCUGGGGUUUUUUUUGUUUUU